rnacentral:misc_RNA from 1 species
GCUUCUUACAUUGGAAGAUUCGUCCGCACAGAAUAUUACAUAUAGUAAAAGAUUAGUCCUAAAUAUGCUAUGAGCCCUGCAGGAGGAGAAGCGUCCUAUUAACCGACGACCACCAUAUCUAGAUCCGGCCCCACCAACACAUGUUUUUGGGAGUUGUUAGAAGAUCCAUCGAUUGUGCAAUCAUAGCAACAGCAGAGAAAGCAUAGGGGUGGACAAGUAAGACAAAGGGAGCCAUCUAAUCCGUCUACAACACCAAUAACUGAAGCAGUGCCACACCCUAUAU